GUGCGAGACCGAUAGCGAACAAGUACCGUGAGGGAAAGAUGUAAAGAACUUUGAAAAGAGAGUUAAAGAGUACCUGAAACUGCUGAAAGGGAACCGAGUCGUAUCUAGUGUCUAUAAUCCGUGGCAUAUUACAUUGCCGUGCUGGUGCGUGCAGUAUUUUGGAAGUGGUUUUUGCUGCUCUGGGUGCUGUUGUGCGUUGGCUUGGUGGUGCUCUGUGUCGUGGUGGGACGUCAGAGUCAGUUCGUAAAUUGCGAGAAAUGGCUGUUGGGAAGGUAGGCCGCUUCGGUGGCUGUUUAUAGCCUGACGUGCUAGUAGUCGUGGUUGGGACUGAGGUGCCUUAACGUGCUUUUGAGUUUGAGUGUUUCUCGUUUGGCUCGUUGCUGGUACAGCUUGCUGUGUUAGUGAUUGUGUUGGGCGAUUGAGAUGCUUGAUAUCUUGUUGCUGUUCGGGACUUUG
rnacentral:rRNA from 1 species